rnacentral:rRNA from 1 species
UACGGAGGGCGCAAGCGUUUUUCGGAAUCAUUGGGCGUAAAGCGCGUGUAGGCGGCUUGGCAAGUCGGGUGUGAAAUCCCGGGGCUCAACCCCGGAACUGCAUUCGAUACUGCCUCGCUAGAGUCCCGGAGAGGAGGGCGGAAUUCCCGGUGUAGAGGUGAAAUACGUAGAUAUCGGGAGGAACACCAGCGGCGAAGGCGGCCAUCUGGACGGUGACUGACGCUGAGACGCGAAAGCGUGGGGAGCAAACAGG